CCUGCCACCAUGUAAGAUGUUCCUUUGCUCUUCCUUCACCUUCUGCCAUGAUUGUGAAGCCUCCCCAGCCAUAUGGAACUGGACGCGCGUGAAAUUUGGUGCCGUGACUCGGAUCGGGGGACUUCCCUUGGGAGAUCAAUCCCCUGUCCUCCUGCUCUUUACUCCGUGAAAAAGAUCCACUUACGACCACAGGUCCUCAGACCCACCAGCCCAAGGAACAUCUCACCAAUUUUAAAUCAGGUAAGCAGC
rnacentral:lncRNA from 1 species